UACGGAGGGUGCAAGCGUUAUCCGGAUUCACUGGGUUUAAAGGGUGCGUAGGCGGGCAGGUAAGUCAGUGGUGAAAUCCCCGAGCUUAACUUGGGAACUGCCGUUGAUACUAUCUGUCUUGAAUACUAUGGAGGUAAGCGGAAUAUGUCAUGUAGCGGUGAAAUGCUUAGAUAUGACAUAGAACACCUAUUGCGAAGGCAGCUUACUACGCAGAUAUUGACGCUCAUGCACGAAAGCGUGGGGAUCAAACAGG
rnacentral:rRNA from 1 species